rnacentral:rRNA from 1 species
GACGAACGCUGGCGGCGUGCUUAACACAUGCAAGUCGAACGAGCGGCGGACGGGUGAGUAAUGUCUGGGAAACUGCCUGAUGGAGGGGGAUAACUACUGGAAACGGUAGCUAAUACCGCAUACCAUCAGAUGUGCCCAGAUGGGAUUAGCUAGUAGGUGGGGUAACGGCUCACCUAGGCGACGAUCCCUAGCUGGUCUGGGAGGAUGACCAGCCACACGGGAACUGAGACAGGUGCCAGACUCCUACGGGGGGCAGCAGUGGGGAAUAUUGCACAAUGGGCGCAAGCCGGAUGCAGCCAUGCCGCGUGUGUGAGGAAGGCCUUCGGGUUGUAAAGCACUUUCAGCGGGGAGGCGGUACCCGCAGAAGAAGCACCGGCUAACUCCGUGCCAGCAGCCGCGGUAAUAC